rnacentral:rRNA from 1 species
GACGAACGCUGGCGGCGUGCUUAACACAUGCAAGUCGAGCGGUAAGGCCCGUUUCGGGGGUACACGAGCGGCGAACGGGUGAGUAACACGUGGGUGACCUGCCCUCAGCUCUGGGAUAAGCCUGGGAAACCGGGUCUAAUACUGGAUAUGACUCCAUGACGCAUGUUGUGGGGUGGAAAGCCUUGUGCGGCUGGGGAUGGGCCCGCGGCCUAUCAGCUUGUUGGUGGGGUGAUGGCCUACCAAGGCGACGACGGGUAGCCGGCCUGAGAGGGCGACCGGCCACACUGGGACUGAGACACGGCCCAGACUCCUACGGGAGGCAGCAGUGGGGAAUCUUGCGCAA